GCCAUAAAAACAUUCUCUAAGCUGAGUCUUGGCACAAAGUAGAUUUUCACCUUAUGAACAAAGUUUCUGUGUUACAGAAAGCACAAUCAUCUGAAACUCACCUUGCAAAAUAGAUCAAAAAUUUCAAAGCUGAUUAAAACCAAAACCUCUGAAAUUUUUAGAACUCCUCUUGCCCUUCCUGCUUUGUUACUGAGGAUAUUAAGUUUAACAAGGUUUUGUUCCUUUAUGACCUAUGAUUUCUUGCUAACUGAUCCUGAAGGGAGGUUAUUGAAUUUGCAACAUGAUAAUUCCUUUCAAAACAAUGCACCAGAACAUCAUAAAGGGAAUCCUACACCACAUUCUAACAGAAGGAGAUCUAAAGCUAUGGUGAAGAGAAAAAAAAAAGGCAAAUACAGUCUUUGAAAAAAACUUUUAAGUUCGUCUGCAGUCUGGUUCUCUGUUGUUAGGUGCAAUAAUUAAGGUGAAAUAAUCCUAAUUAAACAACACCUGAACAUUUAAGGUGGAAAUUAUAUGGAAAUUCUAAACAUCUCUACAUUUCAUGUAUUUCUCAUUCUAAUCUGCACAUACUGACAUUUAAACAUGCGCACUGCAGACUUAAUUCCAAAGAGCUCAGAAAUAGUAGCACAGGCAUAGAAACAGGACUUUGAGGGACACAUGGUGAUUGUUCAAUAUGUAAAGUAUUAAAAUCACUUCUAUUGGUAUGUCUGAAAGUUGAAGCAGACAACAAUGUGAAUUCUGUGCAUUUAAAGCUUCUUUGCCUAAUGCAAGGAGCUCAAUUUGUAUACCUCAGACAUUUGUCCCCACACUUCAGUUCUGUCUGCCUGUGUUACAGAAGUAUCAUCAUGCUGGAGGUAAAUGGGCACCCCACAGACCACAGCCCCUACAGACCCUGCCUCUCAUGGACUCACACCAGCCACAUCGUGCUUGUUGAGCAUGGUGCUGUUACCAGUCCCAUGGGAGAACAGUCAACAUCAGACAGGUUUCAGAGGAUCUUCUGGAUCAGCUACUGCCUGUUCACAUGCCUGCCCCACUCUUCCAGAUGAUGCAAGAAGGCAGAACCACAGCCCUGUCUCUUAAAUUUUUGAGGGGAGUUGACUGACUGCAUGACUACUAACACCUGAAGUUGCCAUUUUGGUUCAGUCCUUCACACACAUAUUUUCUCUGAACAAAAAAAAGAUUUCAGCAAUUUCUAAAGGACAGUUCACAUGCAGACGUGCUGGCUCAGGUACAAGUGUUGGCAAGGUUAGGGUUAUUUCCACACUGUCAGUCAGACUGCACAAUAUUCUAUUUCUUCCUCCAACCUAACUGCAAAGUCAGCUGAAGUCUAUGGAGGGCAUCUUGCUUUUGCACCUUGAUUUCACCUCACUGUCAUGGAGGAAGGUGUGGAGAUUCAGAGCUUUGCACCUGCUUUGUACUGCUGUAAUUCCUUACAGGAGUACGAGGCAGGUCAGUGGCAAUUUGAGCUGGUCAGGCAGUAACAGGCUCCAGACUCUCCCACUGAACAUGAUGCAUUAAUUUGUUGUAAAAACAAAUAAAACAGAUUAACAAAUAAACAAAUCAGAAAUACAGAUGAGACAUGUCACAUUGAUAACCUCACUCUCCAGGCUGACAGCAACAAGACAAGAGAAACUCCCUUGACUUCCUCAGUGCUUCAUCAGCUCCCACCUAACGUGCUCAGCCACUCUUCUUACUGGGGUUUUGCUCCUCCAAAUCACAACAUUAAUAAUUUAUGCUACACAAAAUUUACAAUAUUUAAGUGCUUUUGGAAGAAUAUAAGUGAAACUGGUUUCUGUUUCUAUUUUAGCUUCAUACCUGAGAAAUCCCAUAUCAGUGAUGCCUGCUGUUCUUUGCUACAAAUUGCAUCAAGCCUUUGCUUUGCACUGCCUCAACCCAACUUGUGUGAAGUACCCUCCCUCACAGACUAAACUUAUCUCUCUCCAUAGCAAUAUAAGAAAGAUGAGAAAGAAAAAGAUAGGAUAACUGUUGACAGAGCACAGACGCAUCAUCCUCACAGUGUUUUUAUUUUGGUUACGUUCUGGUAAAAUCACCAUAUUCGAGCCAUGUUCUGAUAUGACAAAAUUGCUGUCAACAAGUGGUCUGGGAAAGGCAUAAUGAAGGUCAACCCCAACCAAGGGAAUAUUUCUUCCUGGCCCAGAAGGCUUCCCAUAAUCUGAAAGAUCCACAGACAAAAGAAGCUCUUUCCCAUGUGACUCCUAAACUUCUGUUAGCCUUUGCUUUCCUCAUAUAAGCACAGAAACAGGAGAUGGCACACAACCUUUACAGUGAGAAGAGUUUUUACAGUCUCUAUGGGCAGAACAAUGUUUGCUUAAUAUCUUUCACAUUUAGAAAGAACUAUAUUCCUCUUGAGAUUAGUCCUCUGUGCUGUUUUUAUCUAAAGGAUGUGAGAAGGGCAAUUAAAAGGACAUACUUGUCUGCAGCUACUCCCUAAACCCUAGCUACAAGAUCUAUAUGUGUCACCCCUUGAUCCACACUAUUUUUCAUUGCUACUUUUGUUGACACUAUCUAGGUAGUGCUAAGUCCUACAGCUCUGCUGAUUUCCUGUGGAAGACAAGACAUUGAUUUCAACAGGCUAAAUGACUGAUGGAGUUCGGAUUUCAUGCUCUGCAGCUUUUUCAUGCAUGUUUUUCUCUUUCAGCCUUACAGGGUUGUCUCAUUAAUGGCAUCUCCAUUCUUCCCAGCUACCAAAUACUCCUGAUUAUUGAGAGUUUUCCCCUCCCGGUUUCCAGAGGAGGUGGAAUACCCAUUUGACUGGCUUUUUAUAUUAAAUUAUUUUAUUUUCUACAUUUUUAUUACAGAUGGAAAAUGUAAUAUUCCUACUACAAUAAUUCACCUAUAGAUACAGUGUGUAUGGAAGAGUCCAUCUAGCAGCCACCUUAUAGUCCCUGUACCAAGGCUGGGAGUUAAUGCCCACCAUAAUGGGGUUGACAAAGACUUCAUGGAGGAUAUUUUUUGCACUUCUAUUGUCUUGGGGAUAGUUCACUGUACCCCAAAGGUUUUGGACAAGAAGUUGAGAAUUUAUUAAAGACAUGAUGUGGUUUUCCAUCCUAAGAUAUGUGGGUUAGUUUUAAAGGAAAACUUUGCCUCAGGUGAUUUUGGAUCUGCAAGUGAUUUCACCUACAGAUCAUGUCAGCAGGUCAUGAGUGGCCAUGACGACUUCUGAACUUCAUUGGGCUUCCUUGUUUUGCAAAAUUUCAACAGUGCUGUGUUUCCUGGUAAAAAGGAGCAGCAACUUUUUUUCUUAAAACCAUCAUAACCAUCAUAAUUGCAAAAGAAAUAUUGCAACCAUGGCUCAAUUAGAAUAACAUUUAACACAAAAAAUCCACCUCUUGUUUCUGAAAUGCUUUCCACACAAAUAACACCUUGCUAAUCAACAAAGCUCAAAAAGAUUCAUUAAAGGUCAGAUUUUGGCCAUCAGACUGCAAUGUACUCAAGCCAUCUGCUGAUUAAAAAAAAGAGAGAGAAUAAAAGGAGGGCUUCCAGGAAAAUAUUUUAGCACAUAUUAAGAAGCCUUAAAUCUAUAGUUUAGUUGGCUACUUGGUGGCAGUGCCUUAUUGCACGUUUAAGUACUUACUUGCUGUUUCCACCUGGAAUUCAACAAACUUCUGUUUAGCAACCAGAAAUAGCAUUUUUGACAAGAAGAGGAACCAAACAGCUGUUCAAUUUUUCUGAGUAAAAUUGGUAAUUUCUGUGGUUUCUUGAAAUGUAUGGGCUAAUUGAAAGCACUGGAGCCACUGGAAAAUAACAAGAAUCAUUUUAUGAUGGAAGCCUUGAAUACGUACAGGAGUCUUUGGUCCUUUAUGCAGGGACAAUGAGUGUGCAGCAAACUUCAGUAUUACUGAGAAACUUAAAAAAAGAAUAGUUGCUUGGAUUUUUAUUUUUACACAAAUGAGCAAUGUAGAACAUAAACUUCUUCCAAGCUUUGGUAAAAGCUGACAGGUAGAGCACAAGGCAAGUCAUCCAAACCUACAAGUCAUCUCUAUUAGCAGGCUCAGCUCCUGGCAAUUGCAAGAGCCUUAGUUUCACUCCACAAAUGAAACCACCAUGCUCCAUCCUACUUCUGCUUGUCCCACGGUACAUGAACAGACUGGGGAACUCACCAAGCCUCCACUGAGGCUCAACACUUGUCAUACCCUUGUCACAUACAGUCUGUCACUUGUCAGGCAUCCAGACCAGUACCCAUAGACAGGCACUAGGUGUAUUUCUUUGCUUAAAUCCAUCACUUAAGCCUGUGUUUUCCACUUUAUCUACUUGUACACUCUAGUUUUAUUCAGUUUGACAGAGCAAUAUUGUUUAGAAACUUUAAACUUUUUUAAAACUUCCAGUUUUUAAUAACUAACAGCAGUGAUUGCCCUUGGGUUUGGAUACCUUUGUACACAUGUGUAAAUAUACAGAUGUAUGCAUAUGGUUGAGUGGAUGUAACCAGUCUGACUUCAUGUGUAUGCUGUGAGCAAAUAUGUUAAAUACCAAAUAAAUAGAGAAGAACAUCUAAUUCCUAUCCCAAAGAAAAAGUCUGGAUAUAGUCAUUUAAAAGAUAGCACAGAACCCCAGGAAUGAAACUAAUGUUUUGCAAAUAUUUCCCUCAUUACUCACUUGUUUACGGUGAUUCUUAACCUAGUUUUCCACAAUUGUGCUUACCCUGUCUGUUCUGUCUGUCCAUCAGUUUACCCUAAUUGCAUUUGGCAGACAGUAGACAGCUUAGAGGACACUCACACAUAUUUGCUGAAAAUCUGAAAUGUCUGAUGGAAACGGGAGAAGUCAGCUGUUGUUUAAUCUGUUUGGCAGCAGAUAGCCAGUCUACAGCCAUAUGUUCUCUAGAAAAUUAAUAUGUAUGUGUCUCUGAUCAUCACAUACAGUGUCUUGCUCAACAGCAGAAAAAACCUAAGAGAGCUUAGAGUACUGUGGAGGGGCAAUAGACCAAAGGCAGAAUUGAUUGUGCUGUUGCAGAGGUAGACUGGCAGUAUGGAUAGUGCUCAGGAGGGCAGGAAUAGAGUUUACUGCAUUGAGAGAAGCAUACAAGACACAGGUCAACAAGCCUAGAUUAAACUGCAAACUCUGCUGCUCAGGGAGUUUCGAUCUUUGCACAAAAAUAUAAAAUCCCUUCUCUCAGAUCAGGCUUCCUCCAGUGCUCAGGUUCCUCAUCCUCUCACCAUGGAAGACCUCAACUUCCACACCUGCUUCCCCAGGAAAAUUUUUGUCUGGGAACUGCCAGAAAUCUAGUAUGCUGC
rnacentral:lncRNA from 1 species